rnacentral:rRNA from 1 species
UACGGAGGGUGCAAGCGUUAUCCGGAUUCACUGGGUUUAAAGGGUGCGUAGGCGGACAUGUAAGUCAGUGGUGAAAUCUCCGGGCUUAACCCGGAAACUGCCAUUGAUACUAUCUGUCUUGAAUACCGUGGAGGUUAGCGGAAUAUGUCAUGUAGCGGUGAAAUGCUUAGAUAUGACAUAGAACACCAAUUGCGAAGGCAGCUGGCUACACGAAUAUUGACACUGAUGCACGAAAGCGUGGGGAUCAAACAGG